UAGAGAGUAAACAAAAAUGGCUGCCACUACGGUAACGCUUGAAAUCUAAUGGAGGAUAUUUCCUAGAUUAUUUCCUACACAGCCGUAAAAUGAUAUAGGAGUAAGCGUGACCGAGCCGGCUUUUGAAAGUAGGUAUGUAAAAUGUAUAAAAGCAGGAGACCAAGCCCAUUCACCAUCUCACAACAGCCAUCCAGAGGAAACACCAUAUCGACACUGUUGAUCUAUCUGUAUCCUACGAUGACUGGGAAACUUUACGUUGCGAUGAUGCUGGUUCUCCUUGUGGCUGGCGCAAACGCUCAGUUUGGCAGGUGUAUCCAGGCCGGUUCGCAGUGCAACAAUAUCCUUGGGGGCUAUCCACAGACUGCUUGCUGUAGGGGCCUCAUGUGCAAGAUGGUCACGAUGACCUACAGCACGUGUCAGUACGUGACAGGGAGGCGUUGAUAUCCCUGCAUCCAUUGCUG